rnacentral:rRNA from 1 species
UUGAAGAAUCGGCUCGCCUCCACGAUUCCAAUGUUAACUUUUCUCCCGUUCGUGUGCAUGCAGGACAUAUGGGAUCAUAUACUUUCCUUGCUGCCACUGCGGGAUGCUGCUCGACCUGGUUGUGUAUCUCGCGCGUUAUUAAGUUCCUGGACAAGCUGUCCCAACCUCAUCUUCACAAGGGAAACACUCGGCCUGACUGGAAAUGCACGUCGAAAACGUGAACUUGCACGAACUUUCGAAAACAGAGUUUACCGCGUUUUGAGAAAACACUCGGGCAUUGGUGUGAAGACAUUCAAGCUUCAUCACUGUGGUUCUGGUUUCAACAUUCGUGAUCUGAACAGGUGGCUUCAGAUUGCCGUUACUCCGGGUAUUGAAGAAGUCGUACUUUCAGUGCCAAUGGAAUGGGUGCCUUACAACUUCCCCUGCUCAGUUUUUUCCAACGGGAGUGGAAACUCGAUUCGGCAUCUUCACCUCGCCAGUUGUGCCUUCCACCCUGUUGCCGGACUUGCUCGCUUGACAAGGCUGCAUCUGUUUAGGGUGGACAUUACAGGAGAUGAGUUAGGGUGCCUACUUUCUAAUUAUUUUUCUAUGGAGGAGCUGAAUCUCACUAAAUGCGUGCUACACAGGCUCAACUGCCUGGUGGUGCUGCAGUGCGGAGCUCUAAAAAAGAUAGAAAAUGAAGCUCCAAAUCUUUGGAUUGUUCGCAUCGAUAGCCAACCAGAGAAAGUUCCAGUUGGAGAUGUAUUGCAAGUGAAGGACCUCCAAAUGCUGGAUUUUUACGAAUCUAACGUCAUUCAUUAUGCUCGUGCCAAGCUUCCGUCCAUUAUGCCAAAUCAUGAAACCCUCAGCCUAGGAUCGACCGGGGAGGUAAAAAACCCCAAGUUUUUUUUUCCGUCAGUACUCUGA